GAACGCAGCAGGCCAGGCAGCAACUAUAGGAAGAGGCGCAGUCGACGUUUCAGGCCGAGACCCUUCGUCAGGACUAACUGAAGGAAGAGCUAAUGAAGGAUCCAGCCAGUCAAGCUCUUGGUGCCUGUUGGUAAGAUCUGGCGAUGAGGCAUUCUCCCAAAACGUCUGGAGACACCGCUCUGGGGAAUUACCGCACGAUGCACUGCAGAAUAUUCCGUGGUCAUCUCUGCCUGACAGACUUGUGGUAAAAGCGGAACAAUUGCUACACCUUCUCCCAUACUAACAUUCAGGGCCGAAACAGUCCUGUUGGGAUCAUAUUCUGUGUCCGGUGCUCCUGGUGUGGUCUCCUGUAUGUCAGUGAGACCCGACGUAGAUUGGGAGGCUGCUUCAUCAAGUACGCCAAAAAAAAAGGGGAUCAUCUAGUGCCCAUUUACUUUAAUUAUAUUUCCCAUUCCUAUAUGUCUGUCCACAGCCUCCUCCACUGUCGUGUUGAUGCCACAUGAUAAGCUGUUGUUGGAGGAACGCACCUUAUAUUGUCCUGACGAAGGGUCUCGGCCCGAAACGUCGACUGUAUCUCUUCCUAUAAAUGCUGCCUGGCCUGCUGCGUUCCACCAGCAUUUUGUGUGUGUUACCUUAUAUUCCAUCUGUGCAGCCUCUAACCUGAUGGUAUGAAGAGUGAUUUCUCGAACUUUCGGUAAUGCCCCACCCUCCUUCAUCAUUGCCCAUCACCUUUUCCCUCUCUCAUCUUAUCUCUUUGCACCCAUCGCCUCCCUCUGGUGCUCUUCCACCCUUUUCUUUCUUCCAUGGCCUUUUGUCUUCUGCCAGUCUCCCCCUUUUCCAGCCCUGUAUCUCUUUCACCAAUCAACUUUCCAGCUUGUUACCUCAUCCCCUCCCCUACAGGUUUCACCUAUCAGUUUGUGCUUCUCCCUCCCAUCUCCCACCUGUUAAAUCUACUCCUCAACUCUUUUUUUUGCUCCAGUCCUGCCAAAAUGUUUCGGACUGAAACAUUGACUGUACUCAUUCCUUAUAUGCUGCCUGGCCUGCUGAAUUCCUUCAGCACUUUGUGUGUGUUGCUUGUGGUCAAAAGGUGUUGGUCUGGAGGAACUGUGACCAAGUUCAUUAACACAACGUUCAUAUUCAGAGGGCGAUAAACAGAGUUGCUGCCGAAAGCUUCCCGUGAUUCUGGAGAACAAACAUGGCGCUUCCAUCAGACUUAAAUCUCCAGCUCCCGGAGGCGGUCCGUCACACUGCUGGUGGGCAGACACCAAUUGCCAGAGGAGUGAGAACCACCCAGUGUCAGUGGUAAGCCCUGGUCCGAAGUUUGCCUGGGAGAGGCUAUGCAAGGGAGAACAAGGCGCAAAGCUGUUCCUGAAACUGUUGGUGUGGGACCCUGGGAUGCUGUACCUCUUCCUGAUGGCACAUGUGAGAAGAGAGCGUGGCCUGAGAGGCGGGGGUCCCUGAUGAUGUAUGUUGCUCUCUCCUGGCAGCGCCCCUUGUAAGAUGUGCUCAAUCCUGUGGAAGGCUUUUCCUGCGAUGGUCUGGGCUGUUUUCACUGGGGGCAUUUGUGAUUCCAUAACACUCCGUGAUACAAGCAGAUGCUGCCUGAUUCCCUGAGAUUCUCUGGCGCUUUGUUUGUUACCACCAUGCCAUGUCCCGCCGAACCAAGAUUCACCCUGACCUCCGCCUUGCAGUCAGCACCACCACCACUUGUCCCAGUUAAUUUACGCUUGUGCCGAUGGACUUCAGGAUCCGGGGAGCCGGGGAGCUCAGGACCCGCCGCCCGCGGCUGCUGCUGAAUCCGCAGUGUUUCUGUUCCGUUGACGGAUGCCGUUUACACAUU